rnacentral:rRNA from 1 species
GACGAACGCUGGCGGCGUGCCUAAUACAUGCAAGUAGAACGCAGUUGCGAACGGGUGAGUAACGCGUAGGUAACUGCCUGGUAGCGGGGGAUAACUAUUGGAAACGCUAGCUAAUACCGCAUACUACCAGAUGGACCUGCGUUGUAUUAGCUAGUUGGUGGGGUAACGGCUCACCAAGGCAACGAUACAUAGCCGACCUUGUAGGGUGAUCGGCCCCACUGGGACCGAGACACGGCCCAGACUCCUUAGGGAUGCAAGAGGAGGGAAUCUGCGGGAAAGGGGGGAACGCUGACCGAGCAACGCCGCGGGGGUGAAGAAGGGUUUCGGUACUGUAAGCUCUGGUGGUAAGGCAGCGGUACUUAACCAGCAAGGGACGGCUAACUACGUGCCAGCAGCCGCGGUAAUAC